GGUGCUAAAAAUUAAUUCGUAGUCCCCCCUACAACAUGCCUUCUAGUCAUGUAGCCGUUUUGGCACUUAAAAGCACAGAAUUCAAAUAAUAGUUUAUACAUGACCUUCUUUUGUUUUACUUUCUUUCUCAUUGUGGCUUGCGUCGAGUUCUCCGGACUCUAAAAGAAAAAAGUGUAACGAGAAUGUUGAGUCACCACGAAGACGACGAUAAACGAAGCAGCAGUGAUCGAGUUGUCUUUCAUUGUGGGCGCGGGUUCUCCUGUGAUCAGAUUGCUUGAAUACUCCCCGCGCAAUGAGUUUUUUUGUUUUUUUUUUUCCGUGCGGCAAUAAUUGUUCUCACGUGAACACCUACCCUUGUUUUCGUCCUUUUUAACCUAAGCUUCUGUUGCAUCUCUUUUUCCUUCCUUACGUUUGCUUUUUCUCUGACGAAGCAAUAAAACUGUGUUAUUCGCUGUCGCGUGCCGAUGUGCAGCCUCACGUGACAAGUAGAAGAAGAAGAACCUGCUAUUCUGAUGUCCACGCACAAAUUCGGGACCUCUAGCUUUCUAGCAUGGGCGACGUAGCACCGAUUCUGAACCCUGACAUGACACCGAACAGCGUGUAGCUGCUGACAUCGCCAUCAAGUACUCGCUCAUUGCAGGCUCUCUCAUGGUCCUCUUCACGGCGGCACUGCUCUCCUACAUAAUUCUCAGCGCCCUCUGGUCGCAAGCGCGGCCAGGACCUGCGACCGAAAAAGAUGACGACAGCACGCCGCCGGCGUCCUACCAUAAUUACCAGCUGCCCCGGCCGACAGCUCCAUCGCAUUCGCCCUCGACGGACGAUGUCUCGCCCACCAAAGAGUCCUCGAAAGACAGCGAGCGGACGGAGCACUCUCUUACAGGCGAAGGCGGCAGUGCAUCCACUCAGAAAGAAGAAAGUGUGUCCAACAGCUAAGGUUUGUCGGGCAGGACGCCGGUCCACAUGCGACUACCCUGUCCCGUCCGUGCUCGACCAGCCGCUGUAGUGCCCGCGAGCCGGCAUUUGAGCGGCCAGAUUGUCGACCACGCAAUCGUCAGGCCCUCUGCAAGGGUCGACAUUCGUGCCUGAUUUCCAGCUGAAGACUUUAUUCUCUCGGCUCCGACGUUCUUUUCAGCGACAGUCGGAUGUGCUCCACAUACUGUGACUGGGGCAAACAUAUUUAUAAACCUGUCGCAUAUUUGUAUAAAAUACUUUUCUGCUUCGAUUCUGUUACGAUAAGAGCUACCGAGAUUUGUACUUCGUAACGGCGUCACACCCAAACCUUAAAGGUGAAUAUAGGCGCUGUGUAUGCUAACAAGUGCAUAAAUAAAACUAGCUUUCCUUCUCUGAUGCCUUGCUCAAAAGUUGGUCGCGAACUAAUAACAUUAAAACGCAACAACGUGCUCCCCACAGAUGAUCAACGCACUUUGAAUCCGAUGGACGGUCCUCUCACGAAAAAGGU